rnacentral:tRNA from 1 species
GUCAGGGAAUAGUUUAAAUAGAACUUCAGCUUUGGGUGUUGAUAGUGGG